UGGGGAAUAUUGGACAAUGGGCGAAAGCCUGAUCCAGCCAUGCCGCGUGAGUGACGAAGGCCUUAGGGUUGUAAAGCUCUUUUGGCGGGGAAGAUAAUGACGGUACCCGCAGAAUAAGCUCCGGCUAACUUCGUGCCAGCAGCCGCGGUAAUACGAAGGGAGCUAGCGUUGUUCGGAAUCACUGGGCGUAAAGCGCACGUAGGCGGAUUGUUUAGUCAGGGGUGAAAUCCCGGAGCUCAACUUCGGAACUGCCUUUGAUACUGGCAAUCUCGAGUCCGAUAGAGGUGGGUGGAAUUCCUAGUGUAGAGGUGAAAUUCGUAGAUAUUAGGAAGAACACCGGUGGCGAAGGCGGCCCACUGGAUCGGUACUGACGCUGAGGUGCGAAAGCGUGGGGAGCAAACAGGAUUAGAUACCCGCGUAGUCCCUGAGCGGGCUGGCAAGGCGCAU
rnacentral:rRNA from 1 species